rnacentral:rRNA from 1 species
GGGGGAUAUUGCACAAUGGAGGAAACUCUGAUGCAGCAACGCCGCGUGAGGGAAGAAGGUUCUCGGAUUGUAAACCUCUGUCCUCAGGGACGAUAAUGACGGUACCUGGGGAGGAAGCUCCGGCUAACUACGUGCCAGCAGCCGCGGUAAUACGUAGGGAGCGAGCGUUGUCCGGAUUUACUGGGUGUAAAGGGUGCGUAGGCGGCCCUGCAAGUCAGGUGUGAAAACCGUGGGCUUAACUCACGGAUUGCACUUGAAACUGUGGGGCUUGAGUGGAGUAGAGGCAGGCGGAAUUCCCGGUGUAGCGGUGAAAUGCGUAGAGAUCGGGAGGAACACCAGUGGCGAAGGCGGCCUGCUGGGCUUUAACUGACGCUGAAGCACGAAAGCAUGGGGAGCAAAC